rnacentral:rRNA from 1 species
CAUGCAGUCGAGCGGACAGAUGGGAGCUUGCUCCCUGAUGUUAGCGGCGGACGGGUGAGUAACACGUGGGUAACCUGCCUGUAAGACUGGGAUAACUCCGGGAAACCGGGGCUAAUACCGGAUGGUUGUUUGAACCGCAUGGUUCAAACAUAAAAGGUGGCUUCGGCUACCACUUACAGAUG